rnacentral:rRNA from 1 species
AGUGAACGCUGGCGGUAGGCCUAACACAUGCAAGUCGAACGGCAGCACAGUAAGAGCUUGCUCUUACGGGUGGCGAGUGGCGGACGGGUGAGGAAUACAUCGGAAUCUACUUUUUCGUGGGGGAUAACGUAGGGAAACUUACGCUAAUACCGCAUACGACCUACGGGUGAAAGCAGGGGAUCUUCGGACCUUGCGCGAUUGAAUGAGCCGAUGUCGGAUUAGCUAGUUGGCGGGGUAAAGGCCCACCAAGGCGACGAUCCGUAGCUGGUCUGAGAGGAUGAUAACCCACACUAGAACUGGGACACGGGCCAGACUCCUACGGGAGGCAGCAGUGGGGAAUAUUAGACAGUGGGCGCAAGCCUGAUCCAGCCAUACCGCGUGGGUGAAGAAGGCCUUCGGGUUGUAAAGCCCUUUUGUUGGGAAAGAAAAGCAGCAGGUUAAUACCCCGCUGUUCUGACGGUACCCAAAGAAUAAGCACCGGCUAACUUCGUG